GGGUAUAAUGUGGAAAGUUCUAAAAAGAAUGUCCCCACUCAAAGCAGCGUAGGGGGCGCUUGGAAAGGGAAGAUUAUUUCUAGCUGCCAGCAUGAAGGGCAGUUUCAGGAGAGAGUUAAUGUUUCAGCAGAAUGAGACAUGGAACAAAGGCAGGGAUAGGGCAGAUCCUGGUUCAGCUGGCUGGAGCACGGAGAUGGUAAAUAGUGGCCUUCAUUCUGGAAGAACUGGCAUCAGAUGGUGGAGAAUGCUGAAUGCCAGACUGAAGAGUGUGGGUGUAUUUCCACAUGAGCAAGAGGCAGAUGAGAAGAAAUUAAGAAACAAGGAAGAGAAAAAAAGUAAACCAUUGCACAACUUUUUAUGCAAGCUUCUCAAAGGUCCUUCCAAGACCCCUGCUUCUACAACACCCCCUAAGUCCCCUGAGGUUUGCACUCUAACUAAAGUGCCCCAAAUCUCCUCACUUUUCCACAGGAAUCUAAUGAUAAAGGUGAGAGAAGAAUGCCAAUUUCUUGUGAAUCCUGAACAUUCCCUCUAUGAGUCAUGGAAAACUGAAAUAACGUUAGGGACAACUUUAGAAAGUAAGUGUUUUAAAUCAGUUCCCACUAAUUUGUUCCUGUGUGUGGUAUAACUCCUGAACACAGGGAAUUUAGGUUUCUGGAGCUGACGCAGAAAUGGGAGUUUUUGUUAGAUUCUGUCAAUUGUCACGGUGGCAUUUUUUAUUAGGAUUUUUCGUACUGUCAUUUUUUUGUUAUAUUAAUUAUAGUUUGAUCAGUGUAGGAGCUAUUUUGAAUCCAUGGGACUUUCUUAACCAGAUUGUUUUGGCAUUUUAAAGUCACUCACAUUCAGGGCCUAAACAAUAUGGCAAGUAUCUUUUUCUCUCUCUCUCCUUUAUAUUCAAAUUCUAAACAAAGGAACCAUCUGUUCUCUCUCUAAAAACAUCGGCCCCUAUUUUCACUUUCCCUUAAUAAUUAUGCCU
rnacentral:lncRNA from 1 species